GCGGGAGUAGUUCAGUGGAAGAACAUCACCUUGCCAAGGUGAGGGUCGCGGGUUCAAAUCCCGUCUCCCGCU
rnacentral:tRNA from 1 species